CCUACGGGAGGCUGCAGUCGAGAAUCAUUCACAAUGGGGGAAACCCUGAUGGUGCGACGCCGCGUGGGGGAAUGAAGGUCUUCGGAUUGUAAACCCCUGUCAUGUGGGAGCAAAUUAAAAAGAUAGUACCACAAGAGGAAGAGACGGCUAACUCUGUGCCAGCAGCCGCGGUAAUACAGAGGUCGCAAGCGUUGUUCGGAAUCACUGGGCGUAAAGCGUGCGUAGGCUGUUUCGUAAGUCGUGUGUGAAAGGCGCGGGCUCAACCCGCGGACGGCACAUGAUACUGCGAGACUAGAGUAAGGUAGGGGGAACCGGAAUUCUCGGUGUAGCAGUGAAAUGCGUAGAUAUCGAGAGGAACACUCGUGGCGAAGGCGGGUUCCUGGACAUGAACUGACGCUGAGGCACGAAGGCCAGGGGAGCGAAAGGGAUUAGAUACCCUUGUAGUC
rnacentral:rRNA from 1 species